rnacentral:rRNA from 1 species
CCUACGGAGGGCAGCAGUGAGGAAUAUUGGUCAAUGGUCGGGAGACUGAACCAGCCAAGUCGCGUGAGGGAGGAAGGCACAGAGUAUCGUAAACCUCUUUUGUCAGGGAACAAAGACUGGGACGUGUUCCCGGAUGAGUGUUACUGAAGAAAAAGCAUUGGCCUACCUCGUGCCAGCAGCCGCGGUAAUACGGAGGAUGCGAGCGUUUUUCGGAUUUAUUGGGUUUAAAGGGUGCGGAGGCGGUCUGUUAAGUCAGCGGGAAAAGGUCGGGGCUCAACCCCGGCCCGCCGUUGAAACUGGCGGUCUCGAGUUGGAGAGAAGUAUGCGGAAUGAGCGGUGUAGCGGUGAAAUGCAUAGAUAUCACGCAGAACGCCGAUUGCGAAGGCAGCAUGCCGGCUCCACACUGACGCUGAGGCACGAAAGCGUGGGUAUCGAACAGGAUUAGAUACCCUAGUAGUC